UACGUAGGGUGCAAGCGUUGUCCGGAAUUAUUGGGCGUAAAGAGCUCGUAGGCGGUUUGUCGCGUCUGCUGUGAAAACGCGAGGCUCAACCUCGCGCCUGCAGUGGGUACGGGCAGACUAGAGUGCGGUAGGGGAGAUUGGAAUUCCUGGUGUAGCGGUGGAAUGCGUAGAUAUCAGGAGGAACACCGAUGCGAAGGCAGAUCUCUGGGCCGUAACUGACGCUGAGGAGCGAAAAGCGUGGGGGAGCGAACAGG
rnacentral:rRNA from 1 species